GGCGGCGGCGGCGGCGGCGGUGGUGGCCGGGCGAGGCCACUUGAAGAGCUUCCUGUGCACUGCAAUACACUUCACCGUGCUCGUGCUGGUCGUCGCGAGGCGACACCUGUAGGGCGCGAGGCGGUAACACCAGCAACAGAUGGUGCCUUUAGGACCAUGCACGAGGAACGGGCUCACAUCAUUUGCACUAAAAGGAUGGGAUGCAGCAGAGUCGGAGGAUGCGGUCCAGGAGAAGGUGUGCAGCGGGUAGAAGACCGACAGAAGAGGAGGUUAAAUGUUUUGUUUCAGGGUCGGAACUUUGUGUCUGAUUGAACGCCAUGAUGUCAUGAAGACUUACUCAGGCCCGAUGUGGAGGCGCUGCGAGUUUCAUAACAAGCUGCCACACUGAACCCCAGAAGCCCUGCAGUCAGUCAGUUGCACGGCCUGCCCCCCUGCGUGACUCUCCGAUUCUGUCAUCAGUUACAAAACGGUGAUGUAAUCCUCCCCUGGUAGAGUGGAGGGAAAAGCUUACUAAUAGGACUUCUUUGAAUUUUCCCCUCCCACGAUGUGAGUGCAUCAAUGAGAAAGGGGUUAAACUGAUUAGACCUUCAAAUCCUGAAAAAUGCACUGAAAUAGACCUGCUCUUAAGCUUCAUAAUGCACUGUACUUUUUUUUUUACAUAAGCUAUACUGUAAGUGUACACGUCAGUAAUGAGAGGAUGAAUGUUUUGUAGAUGUUUCCUACAGUGUUUAGAUGAUGUUUACACAUUCUCCUGUGCUUUAUCUGUUGGGGCAGUGUUAAGUGGCUUUUUAAUCAUAAACAAGCUGCAGGACCUGUGCAUAGGAAGCUAUGCUGUCUGUGAUUUCUUGAAAUAAGCUUUCUCUGGUAUAUCAAGUGUAAUGUGAGCAGUCUUUUAUAAAGUGUGUGCUAUUUAUACUAAUUCAAUAUUUCAUAUGGAUUUUUAGUAGUUAAAAUAAUAAAAUCCUUCUGAAAUGAA